rnacentral:rRNA from 1 species
GCGCAGCAGGCGAGAAACCUUCGCAAAUGCAGGAAACUGCGACGAGGGAACUCCAAGUGCCUACGCUCAGCGUAGGCUGUUCUCAAGCCUAGAAAGCUUGAGGAGUAAGGGCUGGGGUAAGACGGGUGCCAUCUGUGGUAGCAGUCAAUAGAUUCGAUUUGUUACUGCAAGGCAUAAGCCGCCGCGGUAAUACCCGCAGCCCAAGUGGUGGCCGCUUUUAUUGGGCCUAAAGCGUCCGUAGCCGGCCCGGUAAAUGCCUGGGUAAAUCGUGGAGCCC